rnacentral:rRNA from 1 species
AAAAUACGGGAGGCAGCAGCUAAGAAUAUUCCGCAAUGGGGGGAACCCCGACGGAGCGACGCCGCGUGGACGACGAAGGCCGGAAGGUUGUAAAGUCCUUUUUUCCGCGAGGAAUAAGGCCGGGAGGGAAUGCCCGGCCGGUGACGGUAGCGGAGGAAUAAGCACCGGCUAAUUACGUGCCAGCAGCCGCGGUAAUUUUU